rnacentral:snRNA from 1 species
GGAUGUGAGGGCAAUCUGGCUGUGCCAUCUGUCACCCCACUGAUCGCCAGGGUUGAUCUGGCUGAUCUGGCUGGCUACGCAGGUGUCCCCUUCCUCCUUCACUGUUCAAUGUGUGUCCCUCUGGAAGCUGUGCGCUCAGUCCAAGAGGUGACCACUCCCAAUAGAGGAGGACCGUUUCCUCACUCAGGGCUAUAUGAGUAGCUGUGCUCCCCUGCUAGAACCUCAAAACAAGCUCUCAAAUCAGGGAGUCAACAGUAAACGCUGUGUAAAUAUCCCCAAAUCUGAAAAACUUCGAAAUCUGAACUAUUUCUGGUCUCAAACAUUU